UACGAAGGGGGCUAGCGUUGUUCGGAAUUACUGGGCGUAAAGCGCGUGUAGGCGGGUCUUUAAGUCAGGGGUGAAAUGCCAAGGCUCAACCUUGGAACUGCCUUUGAUACUGGAGAUCUUGAGUCCGGGAGAGGUGAGUGGAACUGCGAGUGUAGAGGUGAAAUUCGUAGAUAUUCGCAAGAACACCAGUGGCGAAGGCGGAGCCUCGACCUGGCCCGCUAGUACCA
rnacentral:rRNA from 1 species